rnacentral:rRNA from 1 species
GCGAGUCCACCGGACGUAUGGGAGCUUGCUCCCUGAUGUCAGCGGGGGACGGUUGCGUAACACGCGCCCCACCUGCCUGUAAGACUGGGAUAACUCCCGUCAACCGGGGCUAAUACCGGAUGGUUGUUUGAACCGCAUGGUUCAAACAUAAAAGGUGGCUUCGGCUACCACUUACAGAUGGACCCGCGGCGCAUUAGCUAGUUGGUGAGGUAACGGCUCACCAAGGCAACGAUGCGUAGCCGACCUGAGAGGGCGAUCGGCCACACUGGGACUGACACACGGCCCACACUCCUACCGGAGGCAGCAGUAGGGAAUCUUCCGCAAUGGACCAAAGUCUGACGGAGCACCGCCGCGUGAGUGAUGAAGGCUUUCGGAUCCUAAAGCUCUGUUGUUAGGGAAGAACAAGUACCGCUCGAAUAGGGCGGUACCUUGACGGCACCUAACCAGAAAGCCACGGCUAACUACGUGCCACCAGCCGCGGUAAUACGUAGGUGGCAAGCGUUGUCCGGAAUUAUUGGGCGUAAAGGGCUCGCAGGCGGUUUCUUAAGUCUGAUGUGAAAGCCCCCGGCUCAACCGGGGAGGGUCAUUGGAAACUGGGGAACUUGAGUGCAGAAGAGGAGAGUGGAAUUCCACGUGUAGCGGUGAAAUGCGUAGAGAUGUGGAGGAACACCAGUGGCGAAGGCGACUCUCUGGUCUGUAACUGACGCUGAGGAGCGAAAGCGUGGGGAGCGAACAGGAUUAGAUACCCUGGUAGUCCACGCCGUAAACGAUGAGUGCUAAGUGUUAGGGGGUUUCCGCCCCUUAGUGCUGCAGCUAACGCAUUAAGCACUCCGCCUGGGGAGUACGGUCGCAAGACUGAAACUCAAAGGAAUUGACGGGGGCCCGCACAAGCGGUGGAGCAUGUGGUUUAAUUCGAAGCAAC